UCUUUUCUAGGGCCGCACCUGUGGCAUAUGGAGGUUCCCAGGCUAGGGCCCUAAAAAGAAAAAAAAUUUAAUAUGUCUAAUUAAACAGUCAUCACAGGAAUACCAUGAAUACUAAUGACAAGUAUUCCUAGAGCAUACUGUUUGUCAGGUACUCCGUCAUAUAUUUUAUAUCACAACAACUAUAUGAGGUGAAUAUUGUAGCAUCCUCAUUUUUAAAAUGAACAAACUGAGGCUUGGAAACUUACUUGAUUUAUCUAGUAAGUAUGCUAAAAAAUGAUAGAUUAUGGAUUCAAAUCCAGGUCUGUUUACACAAAAGAUGCUCUUUCCAUUACACGCAUAAAGGAGGAUUCCAUCCCUGUGCUACAAUAGAGAAAUGACUAGUGCUAUCACUAAAACAACUCAAGUUCAGUGACCCAAAGGAUGUUGUAUAGGGAAGAUCCAAAAAGUCCUUAAAUUAAAUCCCCAUCUGAAAUGUGAGUCAUUCCCUCAACAAUGCCUACAAGGAUCACUUAAUCUUUAUUUAUUUACACUGAAAGGCAGUAAACUCUCCCUCUAUUUCUAGGCAUUUCAUCUUUGGGCCACUCUAACAAUUAGAAAAUUUGUUUUUAUUCUGAACUGAAAAUUAUUUCCUCUUAGCCACCAACCACCACUCUAGGUCUCGAUCCCAAGGCCACAAAGACAUUAACCUUCUUUCCUGUGAUGUGACAGCCCUUUACAAGUGUCAUCUAAUCCCCUAUCUCUACUCAAGUCUUUUUCAAGCCCAGGGUUUCUUUAACUUUUCUUCCUACCUUAGACCACUGAGUGUCCUCACCACUGGGAAGAUUUCUGUUGAGCAUGGCCCAGGCUGUGUAUCUUUUAACAAGGCUGAGACACAAGAAGGGCCAUGCCUUGAGACCAAAGAUCAUGAUCCAGAGAAGUCUUACUCUAGAUAGCCUAACAAUGCCCAUAACCAAGCCCUGGUAAGAUCCUUAGAGGAGAUAGAGCUUAGAAGUUGGGUCCACAUUUAAAACCAUAAAACUCUAAAGGAGAGCAGAGGUAGUAAGUUCUUUGACAUAAACUUGCCAAUGAUUUUUUUGUAUCUAACUCCAAAGGCAAAGACAACAAAAUAAACAGGUGGGACUACAUCAAAUUAAAAAGCAAAGGAAAUCAUCAACAAAAUGAAAAGGCAAUCUACUGAAUAGGAGAAAAUAUUUGAACAUCAUAUAUCUGAUAAGGGAUUAAUAUCCCAAAUAUAUUUUUAAAAACUCAUACAACUCAAUAGCCAAAAAAAAAAAAAAAACCUAAAAAAUGGGUAGGGGAUCCAAAGAGACAUUUUUCCAAAGAAGACACACAAAUGGCCAUCAAACACAAGAAAAGAUGCUCAACAUCACUAGGCAUCAGGAAAACACAAAUCAAAACCACAAUGACAUAUAACCUCAUACUUGUUAGAAUAGCUAUCACCAAAGAGACAAGAAAUUUUAAGUGCUGACAAGGACAUGAGAAAAAGGAACACUUGUGCAUUGUUUGUUGUAUUAUAAACUGGUGCAGUCACUACAGAAAAAAGCAUGGAGGUUCCUCAAAAAAUUAUAAAUAGAACUACCACAUGAUCCAGCAACUCUACUUCUGGGUAUUUACCUGAAGAAACAAAAACACUAAUUUAAAAAGAUAUGUGCACCUCCAUGUUCACUGCAGCAAUAUUUACAACAGUCAAGACAGAGAAACAGGAGUUCCCAUUGUGGCUCAAUGGGUUAAGAACCCAACAUAGUAUCUGUGAGGAUGCAGGUUUGACCCCUGUCCUCACUUAGUGGAUUAAGGAUCCUUCAUUGCUGCAAGCUGCUGCACAGGUCACAGCUGUGGCUUUGAUUCCACCCCGGCCCAGGAACCUCCAUAUGAUACAGGAGAAGCUGUAAAAAGAAAAACAUUUUAAAUAAAAAUAAAAAUAAUGAAAUAUUGACAUUUAUGACAACAUGGAUGGACCUUGAGGGCAUUACACUAAGUGAAAUAAUUCAAAUAAAGAAAAAUAACAUAUGAUCUCACACGUGGAAUCUAAAAAACAAACAAGAAAUAGAGAACAGACUGCUCUUUGCCAGGGGUGAGAAGGGGGAGUUUUGGGGUGGUAGGUAAAAUGGGUGAAGGGGGUCAAAAGGGAUGAACUUCCAUUCACAAAAUAAGUAAGUCAUGGUGACUACAGUCAAUAAUAUAGGGCACACUUGAAAGUUGCUGAGAAAGUAAGCCCUAAAAGCUCUCAUCAGAAAAAACAAAAAAAAACAAAAAAAA
rnacentral:lncRNA from 1 species